AAUUUUGGUAUGCCACACAUUUUCCAUGGACCCGAAGUCUCCAGGAUCUCCGACAUUGAUGUCAAUAGGUUGACACAGGGAUUAUUUACGUCUGCAGCUGUUUGGCUCCACUUCAUUAACAUACACGUAAUCUUGGACAAGAUUGCUUUGCUGAAAAGGGAUUUGUCAUGAACUAAGACGUUUCU